AUGAACGCUGGCGGCGUGCCUAAUACAUGCAAGUCGAGCGAACAGAUGAGGAGCUUGCUCCUCUGACGUUAGCGGCGGACGGGUGAGUAACACGUGGAUAACCUACCUAUAAGACUGGGAUAACUUCGGGAAACCGGAGCUAAUACCGGAUAAUAUAUUGAACCGCAUGGUUCAAUAGUGAAAGACGGUUUUGCUGUCACUUAUAGAUGGAUCCGCGCCGCAUUAGCUAGUUGGUAAGGUAACGGCUUACCAAGGCGACGAUGCGUAGCCGACCUGAGAGGGUGAUCGGCCAAACUGGAACUGAGACACGGUCCAGACUCCUACGGGAGGCAGCAGUAGGGAAUCUUCCGCAAUGGGCGAAAGCCUGACGGAGCAACGCCGCGUGAGUGAUGAAGGUUUUCGGAUCGUAAAACUCUGUUAUUAGGGAAGAACAAAUGUGUAAGUAACUAUGCACGUCUUGACGGUACCUAAUCAGAAAGCCACGGCUAACUACGUG
rnacentral:rRNA from 1 species